UGCAGCUAUAUGUACUAUAAGAAAGUCAAGUUAGGUUCUCAACUUCUCGAGUUUCACACCCAUCUUUGAUUGGUGUGCUUGCAUCAAUGUUGGUUAAAUUGGUCUUUUCAUAUUUCUUUUAUCGCAAACGGUGCCCCUUAACGUAGGACCAUAACUUGAAUGAAUUAAAUUGGCUGAUUAGUGUAGUGAAAAUGUCAGCAUAUGGCUUUUUCCUACAUAUACCACAACUAUUAUUGGUGUCAAUGUUGGCUGGUCUGAGUGGUGACCAUACACACGAAUGGUAAACUAGAUCAUAUUUUAUUUCUUAUAUUUCAUCCAUCCUCCUGUUGCCCCCAAAUAAUUGUGUAUGCUUAGUUUGAAUGUUUGAUUUCUUCAAUUUUUUUUCUCUUGCUUCCAUCUUGAUGCUUCGUUUGGGCUAUUGGUGGUUAUCACAUGUAAUAUGUUGUGAUCACGGCAGGCAGGUUUUAAGUUUCUUAUAUUUGCGCACCAUCAGCCAAUGAUAGAUGCGAUACAUGAGUGCCUUCUUGGGAAAAAAGUGGGUUGCAUCCGGAUUGAUGGAGGUAGACCUGCUGCAUCAAGGCAACAAUUGGUUACAGAUUUCCGGGAAGAGGACUCUAUCAAGGUAGCUGUGCCAUCCAUUAAUGCUGGAGGAGUUGGAUUAACUUUAACUGCUGCAAGCAGUUAUAUUUGCAGAACUAUCUUGGACUCCUGGUUACCUAUUUCAGGCCGAAGAUCGUGCUCAUAGAAUUGGCAAGGUCUCUCCGGUAAAUAUAUAUUACUUGCUGGCAAAUGAUACGGUUGAUGACAUCAUAUGAUUUUUACAUCUUAGGGAUGUGGUGCAAUUCAAACCGGAUAAUUUGGGGCUGGUACAUCUCUACAUCGUCUUGGAACUAUCAUAUGUAACAUAUGAUGUUAGAUGGCCAUGAGAACACUUUAGCUGUGUCAAAUAAUCAGCCAUUGAGUAGCCCUGCAAAGCAUACUACUAUUGAGCAUAGCCCUUUAAGGCAGAGAACUCUUGACCAGUUUGUCAGAAGAUGUGAUAACGCGGAUAGGUCGGAACAUCAGCCUGACCCGAAACGGCCCUGUUAGUCAUGACUUGUGAGAUACGCAAGAUGGAUUUCCAUUUUCUCAGAUACGUGGCCAGUGGCAAGUGAAUCGGAACUUAAAUGUUAAUUUUUACAUGCUGAAGUUUCCCUGUAGUAUUAACCACGUGUGCUUACAUGGGGAAUUCACCUAUGAUGACACAAAUGCCUUUUGAAGCUGAAAUCCAUUGUACAACAAAUAAUAGAUUUUGAGUAGAACUGACUACACUAAAUUAUGUUGCUUGUGUUGGAGAUAAUGGUUUGGUUAUGUGAAAAUAUGUAUUGGAAGAAAAUGUAGAUCAAGUCACCCAUUAGAUUUUAGGUUUUCACUUGUUCUUAACUUUUUGCUCCCUUAUGUUUUGUUUUAGUGUGGGGCACUGUACAGAGUAGUACAUCAUCAUAUAUGAAUUAGACUUGUAAAUUCCUUUACUCCA